GACGUAGGGCGCGAGCGUGUCCGGAUUUAUUGGGCGUAAAGAGCUCGUAGGCGGCUUGUCGCGUCGAAUGUGAAAUCUCAGGGCUCAACUCUGACAUUGCAUUCGAUACGGGCAGGCUAGAGUUCGGUAGGGGAGACUGGAAUUCCUGGUGUAGCGGUGAAAUGCGCAGAUAUCAGGAGGAACACCGAUGGCGAAGGCAGGUCUCUGGGCCGAUACUGACGCUGAGGAGCGAAAGCGUGGGGAGCGAACAGG
rnacentral:rRNA from 1 species